UGGGGAAUUUUGGACAAUGGGGGCAACCCUGAUCCAGCAAUGCCGCGUGUGUGAAGAAGGCCUUCGGGUUGUAAAGCACUUUUGUCCGGAAAGAAAACGUCGUGGUUAAUACCCGUGGCGGCUGACGGUACCGGAAGAAUAAGCACCGGCUAACUACGUGCCAGCAGCCGCGGUAAUACGUAGGGUGCAAGCGUUAAUCGGAAUUACUGGGCGUAAAGCGUGCGCAGGCGGUCCGCUAAGACAGAUGUGAAAUCCCCGGGCUUAACCUGGGAACUGCAUUUGUGACUGGCGGGCUAGAGUAUGGCAGAGGGGGGUAGAAUUCCACGUGUAGCAGUGAAAUGCGUAGAGAUGUGGAGGAAUACCGAUGGCGAAGGCAGCCCCCUGGGCCAAUACUGACGCUCAUGCACGAAAGCGUGGGGGAGCAAACAGGAUUAGAUACCCUGGUAGUCCACGCCCUAACGAUGUCAACUAGUUGUCGGGUCUUCAUUGACUU
rnacentral:rRNA from 1 species